rnacentral:rRNA from 1 species
AAAUUGAAGAGUUUGAUCAUGGCUCAGAUUGAACGCUGGCGGCAGGCCUAACACAUGCAAGUCGAACGGUAACAGGAAGCAGCUUGCUGCUUCGCUGACGAGUGGCGGACGGGUGAGUAAUGUCUGGGAAACUGCCUGAUGGAGGGGGAUAACUACUGGAAACGGUAGCUAAUACCGCAUAAUGUCGCAAGACCAAAGAGGGGGACCUUCGGGCCUCUUGCCAUCGGAUGUGCCCAGAUGGGAUUAGCUUGUUGGUGGGGUAACGGCUCACCAAGGCGACGAUCCCUAGCUGGUCUGAGAGGAUGACCAGCCACACUGGAACUGAGACACGGUCCAGACUCCUACGGGAGGCAGCAGUGGGGAAUAUUGCACAAUGGGCGCAAGCCUGAUGCAGCCAUGCCGCGUGUAUGAAGAAGGCCUUCGGGUUGUAAAGUACUUUCAGCGGG